UGAGCAAAACAGUUUUUAUUUCAACGCAAGGAAACAAAACCGAAACUAGCGCAACUGUUUUGCCCAGUUGUGCAGAUACAAAAUGAUCCAAAGCCGAAGCCGUCAAUAGCAUGACGCCAUUUUGAACUUGUGCUGCAUCACGCGCGAGUACGUUGUCGUUGAGUGGUUCUGAAAUCACUGGGCGACUGCAACCAAGCGUUGUGGCAAGUUACGGUGGGAGCUUCUGUCCGUGCUGUGUGAAUGCGACGAGGGGACCGCCGCCAGCAGCAGCGUAUCGCCGAUAAGCGCCCGAAGUGCUGCGGUUUGCACUGCAUCUUUCAUUGUGAUAUGGGAGAUCGCAACGGACGGAGACGACCAGAUGCAUACGAACGACUACCAGCGCGGAUUGACCUGUGCCAUAUUUCUCUUAACGUCUCAGGUAUUCAAGAAAUGGCAACAGCCAGAAGUCACCCUCUUACCAGCACGUUAUGGGUACACUCUGGCGGCUCCUACCCCUGUGUCCUCCCACCACCCUGUCCUGACUACGUCCACUAGGUAGUUGGGAGCCUUUGGCGGCUUCUGCCACUGCAUCCUGCCGCCACCAUGUCCCGACUAUGUCCACUAGGGAGUUGGCAGCCUUAGUGAUGAUGCCAGCAGGCUGACAGCCGACAGAAAGAUUCAGGUUGCCUCGAAAUUUUACCCAAGCCAUGCCGCACACUCGGGCCAGGCCUCUUGCGAACGACGUAUAACCAGGCUCAACGCAUCAGGGUCGAGGGAGUCCGGAGAUCAAGGCAACCUGCUGUGCAACCAGCGUGCAACCUUUGGUGACCCCUCUACAUGUGCUACCUAUUUCACAGCUGUGCCUCACCUACCAUCUAUCCAAACAGCAUCACCGGCUGUGAUCACUUAUCGAACCAUGGAUGAAUGUUGGGGUGGAGUGAUUUGAACAGACAUUCUAUUUGUCUCUUCAAAUUCUUUGUAAAUAUUUCUGUUAUAAUUCAUAUGUGUCUUUAGUAUCUAGUUUUUAAUAGUUCCUUUCUCUUGGAAUUCUCACCAUCAGCCCCUGCUAAUCUAAUGUAUACCUGCCUUUAAGCCCUGUUUCUCGUAGUUCUUUCACACUUGUGGAUGUAAUUGAUAGGUUAUUAUUUCUUGUUGUACGGAAGGCUAAAAUACGAACUUACGGCAUUUUUCUUCCUUUGAUAAUCUACAGCACUGCAAUGUGUUCAAGAAAUGUAACAUAACACGGGCUCUGGUGCAGGAUAAAUUUAAGAGCAAUAUAGAGUACUUAUCUCAAGCACCCAUUAUUUUUUAAAAACUCAAGGAUAUAGGAGCACAAGAAAGAAACUAUUGAACUAGAGAAACAUUGGUUCCCCUCAUAAGUCUGGUAAUAAUGUGACUUCUUUCACUGCGAAGAUACUGGUGCUCGCAUACAAGGUUUGAGGCAUGAAAGCUAUGAUACCCUUGGCAUUUCUCAGUGCUUAUUUGCCACACUGACGAAUGUCAAAGGCAGCAUAGGUUUCAUGCACACCUUGGUUGUAUUACACCUUUUGAGUAUUGCAUUUCUCAAACACACGGGUUUGCAGCAGUGCUUUAAAUAGCAGAUGUAUUUCCUAAUUUUCAGAAUUUUUUAGUGCAAGAGUAACGCUACAGAUCAUGUAAAAAUAAUUUUACAGACUAUAUGUCCAUGGAUGCAUGUUUCUUCUGAUGAUGUAGCAGUGCCAUGUGGUCGGGGGAUGAAUGUCUAUUUCAGAUUUAAAUAUUGGCUUCCAGGCCUGGGUUAGUCUCCUACACUGAGUAUACUAAGUCAAAGCCUAGUUACUAGAGGAAAGUGAAUAAAACUAGGAAUUAUAAACAUCAAAAGAUCUUGUUCGGGACACUAAUGUAACAAUCAGCAAGGUUCUUUGUGCAUUCAUUUCCAGAUUUGCGAGAUUAUAUUUUGACUGGUUUCAAUAAUGCGAGAACAAAUAUUUGUUUAUUCUCAUGCUAGAGUUGGCUGCCCCCAUUCGCAUGCAACCCCUUUACAGGCUAAAAAUUAAGUGUAUUAAUAGGCUGUUUUUCGGUUUUGCGCCCUCAGUGUUAAGGAAUGCAAAUGGUGACAUACAACAGAAUGCAGAAAAAUGUCUAAGGCAUGCAAGCAGGGCAUGGGACUUUUUAGACAGAUGCAUGCGUGUGCUAUUUAUAAAACUCCCUAUGGUAUGCCUCAAGGCGUUUUGUAACCCUUUGGUAGAAACACUGACACCCACUUAUUAAGGGGAAAUGCUCCUCGAAACAACUUUUUUUAAUUUGUACUAGAAAUUUGAAUGUACUGCUAUUCAUAGGGAGUUUUAUGUAGAUUUGAAUUGUCAUUGGUUUUUGUGUAGCUGGUGUUUAGUUAUGUCCUACAUAGUGGCAAUAUAUUUUUAUGGGCACUUGUGUGUAAAAGUUUCGCAAAUGGUUUCAUGCUGUAUCUUAUUUAGCUAGGUGUAUACCGCAAAGUGGCGAUACCUAUCCAAACAGCUUGUACAAUUACUGGAAUUAUGCAAAAAAUAUUAGGCCACUUUAAAUAAUUUUUAGAUUGCAAUUUCAAUUAGAUACUGGUAUUCUGC